CAAAUACUCCCUCCGUUCCGAAUUACUUGUCGUAGGUAUGGAUGUAUCUAGAUGUAUUUUAGUUCUAGAUAUAUUCAUUUUUGCUAUGAGUAAUUUAAAACGGAGGAAGUACUUA
rnacentral:pre_miRNA from 1 species